GGGCGAAAGCCUGAUCCAGCAAUGCCGCGUGUGUGAAGAAGGCCUUCGGGUUGUAAAGCACUUUUGUCCGGAAAGAAAUCCUUGGCUCUAAUACAGUCGGGGGAUGACGGUACCGGAAGAAUAAGCACCGGCUAACUACGUGCCAGCAGCCGCGGUAAUACGUAGGGUGCGAGCGUUAAUCGGAAUUACUGGGCGUAAAGCGUGCGCAGGCGGUUUGCUAAGACCGAUGUGAAAUCCCCGGGCUCAACCUGGGAACUGCAUUGGUGACUGGCAGGCUAGAGUAUGGCAGAGGGGGGUAGAAUUCCACGUGUAGCAGUGAAAUGCGUAGAGAUGUGGAGGAAUACCGAUGGCGAAGGCAGCCCCCUGGGCCAAUACUGACGCUCAUGCACGAAAGCGUGGGGAGCAAACAGGAUUAGAUACCCUGGUAGUCCACGCCCUAAACGAUGUCAACUAGUUGUUGGGGAUUCAUUUCCUUAGUAACGUAGCUAACGCGUGAAGUUGACCGCCUGGGGAGUACGGUCGCAAGAUUAAAACUCAAAGGAAUUGACGGGGACCCGCACAAGCGGUGGAUGAUGUGGAUUAAUUCGAUGCAACGCAAAGAACCUUACCUACCCUUGACAUGGUCGGAAUCCCGCUGAGAGGUGGGAGUGCUCGAAAGAGAACCGGCGCACAGGUGCUGCAUGGCUGUCGUCAGCCCGUGUCGUGAGAUGUUGGGUUAAGUCCCGCAACGAGCGCAACCCUUGUCCUUAGUUGCUACGCAAGAGCACUCUAAGGAGACUGCCGGUGACAAACCGGAGGAAGGUGGGGAUGACGUCAAGUCCUCAUGGCCCUUAUGGGUAGGGCUUCACACGUCAUACAAUGGUCGGAACAGAGGGUUGCCAACCCGCGAGGGGGAGCUAAUCCCAGAAAACCGAUCGUAGUCCGGAUUGCACUCUGCAACUCGAGUGCAUGAAGCUGGAAUCGCUAGUAAUCGCGGAUCAGCAUGCCGCGGUGAAUACGUUCCCGGGCCUUGUACACACCGC
rnacentral:rRNA from 1 species